rnacentral:piRNA from 1 species
UCUGGGUACCUGGACGUCACCAUGACAACC